CCCACCAAUCUCGUUUGGCUCCGCUCCCGCCCUUCGCCCUACCCUUCCCACCUUCUCCUCCUCCUCUUUCUCCGCUCUGUUUCACUGCCGAAGACGCGAUGCUCGGAUUGGCUCGAGGGCAGGCGGCAGUGAUGGUGGUGGUGAUGCGGAUGCAAGCGCAGAUUUGAUGUUGCUGCAGGCUUCGAGAUGGCUUCAGAGAAUCAUGAGGGCGGAGUUGCCAUCGAGUUCGGUGUCUUGUCGCGUGAUAUGACACUUCGGCCCAACCCGUCGUCAGUCAUCAUCUCCCAUCUAUCGACGGCUGCGAUAUCGGGACCCGAUGAACGAAGGGUCGAGAUGUGAUCUAAUCCAGCAGCGCCGAAGACUAGACCGCCAGGAAACGCAACAGGUCACGAGGUAAACGAUACUAUGGGUCGUUACUUCU